CCCUUAGAUGUUCUGGGCCGCACGCGCGCUACACUGACGAAUGCAACGAGCUUAUAACCUUGGCCGAAAGGUCUGGGUAAUCUCCAAAUUUCGUCGUGAUGGGGAUAGAUUAUUGCAAUUAUUAAUCUUCAACGAGGAAUGCCUAGUAAGCGCAAGUCAUCAGCUUGCGUUGAUUACGUCCCCGCCCUUUGUACACACCGCCCGUCGCUCCUACCGAUUGAAUGGUCCGGUGAAGCGCUCGGACCGCGGCCUCUUGACGGUUUUCCGUCGAUUAGCUGUGGGAAGUUCGUUAAACCUUAUCAUUUAGAGGAAGGAGAANUCGUANCA
rnacentral:rRNA from 1 species